UAUGAGACCUGCAAGGUGCGGACGGUGAAGGCAGGUACGCUGGAGAAGCUGGUGGGGCACCUGGUGCCCGCCUUCCAGGGCAGCAACCUCUCCUACGUCACCGUCUUCCUGUGCACCUACCGGGCCUUCACCACCACCCAGCAAGUCCUGGACCUGCUGUUCGAAAGAUACGGCUGCAUCCUGCCUUAUGCCCACGAGGACGGCGGGCCCCAGGACCAGCUGAAAAACCUGCCUGCCCCAGUGCCAUCUCCUCCAUCGUGGGCACCUGGCUGGACCAGUACUCGGAGGACUUCGUCAGCCCUGCGACUUUCCCUGCCUCAAGCAGCUGGUGGCCUAUGUGCAGUUCAACGUGCCCGGCUCCGACCUGGAGCGCCGUGCCCACCUUCUCCUGGCCCAGCUGGAGCAUGCGGAGCUCACCCAGGCAGAGCCGGAGGCUUCACUGCAUCUCAGGAUCUAGCGAAGGUGCCAACACCAGCUCCUGGACCAUCUGAAGUUCUGGAUCCAGCGGAAGAAGCAGCAACAGAACCAAAGCCACAUCCUGCGCUGGAGGAACAUUUGCAUUCGUAGCCAGAGCGACACGGCGGGUCGGCAGCUCCAGAGCAAAGCAGACGCCACGGUCAGUUCCAUCAGCACCUCCACCCGGACCUGCGGCUGCACCUGCUCCUGCAGGAGACCCCGAGCAGGUCUUAAUAUAGUCACGCCUAGUGUUUUAAGGGCUACAUCACACGCCUCACGAGCACAUAGCACAUCCCCGACACCGAGCAGCCCUCCCUGUGUCCCGUGCAGACUGUGUCACUGCCCAGGACGAGACUCUGCCGGAAGCACUCACUCCCCACCGCCCCCCCAGCCCCCGGCAGCCCCUCAUCUGCCGUCUGUCUCUGUGUCUUCACCUGUUCUGGAUAUUUCCUGUAAAUGGAAUCCCACAACAGAUGAAAGAGGAGAUGCACAAAAUGAAGCCCUUUGAGUCACUGUGUGCGUCUGGGCAGUGUCCCCUGUUCUGAGUGUGACGUCAGAGCCAGAAGACCGACGGGAAACUCCUGGCUCUUCCUGUGGCCAAAACAGGAACAGGAAACACGUGGAAAGUGAGAAAGACAACCCACACACUGGAAGAGCCUCCUCACAGCCCAGGGCCAGGGCGACACGAGACAUCCCUGGGGUCCUGAAGACGCUCCAGAGCCAAUGCUUCUCUCCGGGUGGGGCCCCUCCCCUGCAGAGCCCAUCCCGGGACCCCGGCCGCAGGGAUCCCUGCACAGUGUCUCCCAGAUGUAUUUUCAAGAGGGUCUGGCACGGCACAGGCUGGAGUAUCAGGGACUGGAAACGCCAGUGUCCACGGAGAGGGGAUGAGACGCAUCGGUCCUGGUCCACGUGGACCAGUGAGCGCUGGGCAGCUGCUAAUGUGGGUGUGGGGUCCCCACGUGCUGACGGAGACCCCAGGCGUCUUCUGACAUGGGCCACCUGUGGACUGUGUGCACCCAGGACCCCGUCUGUCAGACCACGUACACGUGAGGUCAGGGGGAGACACACACGUAUGAAACUGAAUCUGUGUAUGAGCGAGGAGACAGACAGAGAGACACGUGGCAAACCUUUGGUGAUGUGCGCCCUGGGGUGGGGUGUCCACGUCUUUCAUCUUUAAAUUUUUGUAAAGAUUGUG
ensembl:lncRNA